rnacentral:rRNA from 1 species
CACGUAGGGGGCAAGCGUUGUCCGGAUUUAUUGGGCGUAAAGAGCGUGUAGGCGGUUCGGUAAGUCUGUCGUGAAAUCCUGAGGCUCAACCUCGGGCGUGCGAUGGAUACUGCCGGGCUAGAGGGUGGUAGAGGCGAGUGGAAUUCCUGGUGUAGCGGUGAAAUGCGCAGAUAUCAGGAGGAACACCUAUUGCGAAGGCAGCUCGCUGGGACGUAACUGACGCUGAGACGCGAAAGCGUGGGGAGCAAACAGG